rnacentral:rRNA from 1 species
GACGAACGCUGGCGGCGUGCUUAACACAUGCAAGUCGAACGGAAAGGCCCAGCUUGCUGGGUGCUCGCGUGGGGAACGGGGGAGUAACACGUGGGUGAUCUGCCUCUAACUUCGGGAUAAGCUUUGGGAACUGGGUGUAAUACCGGAGAGGGCAAUCGUUUAGGGUCGGUGGGGGAAGGAUUUUUCGGUUGGGGAUGAGCUCGCGGCUUAUCAGCUUGUUGGUGGGGUAGUGGCCUACCAAGGCGUCGACGGGUAGCCGGCCUGAGAGGGUGGGCGGCCACAUUGGGACUGAGAUACGGCCCAGACUCCUACGGGAGGCAGCAGUGGGGAAUAUUGCACAAUGGGCGGAAGCCUGAUGCAGCGACGCCGCGUGGGGGAUGACGGCCUUCGGGUUGUAAACCGCUUUCGACAGUGACGAAGCGUUGGUGACGGUACCUGGAUAAGAAGCACCGGCUAACUACGUG